rnacentral:rRNA from 1 species
UCAAGCUAGAAAGAGCGCAAGGGGAAUGCCUUGGCAUCAGGAGCCGAAGAAGGACGUGACAAGCUGCGAUAAGCUGCGGUGAGCUGCACAUAAGCUUUGACCCGCAGAUUUCCGAAUGGGGAAACCCGGCAGAGCAAUACUCUGUCAGCGUGCGUUGAAUCAAAUAGGCGUACGCGGGGAACCGCCUGAACUGAAACAUCUAAGUAGGGCGAGGAAGAGAAAUCAACCGAGAUUCCGCUAGUAGUGGCGAGCGAACGCGGAAGAGGGCAAACCGGAGGAUUUAUCCUCCGGGGUUGUGGACAGUUUUUUAGCAACUGGAACUAGGAGAACGGUAUGGGAAGGCCGGCCAUAGCGGGUGAUAGCCCCGUAUCCGAAAGGGAAGGUUGUGCGACUGGAUCCAGAGUACCGCCGGACACGUGAAACCCGGUGGGAAGCUGGGGGGACCACCCUCCAACCCUAAAUACUACCUGAUGACCGAUAGAGGAGCAGUACCGUGAGGGAAAGGUGAAAAGGACCCCGGGAGGGGAGUGAAAGAGAACCUGAAACCUUGUGCUUACAAGCACUCAAAGCCCGUUAAAGGGUGAUGAGGUACCUUUUGUAGAAUGGUCCGGCGAGUUAUUGUUACUGGCAAGCUUAAGGCAUUCAGUGCCGGAGGCGCAGGGAGACCGAGUCUGAAUAGGGCGUAUGAAGUCAGUGGCAAUAGACCCGAAACCGGGUGACCUAUCCAUGGGCAGGUUGAAGUGGGGGUAAAACCCCAUGGAGGACCGAACGCACGCCCGUUGCAAUGGUCGGCGAUGACCUGUGGAUAGCGGUGAAAUUCCAAUCGAACUCGGAGAUAGCUGGUUCUCCCCGAAAUAGCUUUAGGGCUAGCGUUGGCUUAGAUUACCGGAGGUAAAGCACUGAAUGGGCUAGGGGCCGAUAAGGUUACUGAACCCUAUCAAACUCUGAAUGCCGGAUAAUUGAUGGCUAGCAGUCAGUCUACGUGAGAUAAGUCUCGUGGACAAAAGGGAAACAGCCCAGACCCACAGCUAAGGUCCCAAAGAUACGCUAAGUGGAAAACGAUGUGGAGUUGCGAAAACAACCAGGAUGUUGGCUUAGAAGCAGCCACUCAUUAAAAGAGUGCGUAAUAGCUCACUGGUCGAGUGACUCUGCGCGGAAAAUAUAACGGGGCUAAGCGUAACACCGAAGCUUGGGCUGCACAGCAAUGUGCGGGGUAGGGGAGCGUCGAAUAUGGGGUGAAGUCGCAGCGGAAGCAGCGGUGGACUGUAUUCGAGUGAGAAUGCCGGAAUGAGUAGCGAGAAUUAUGUGGGAAUCAUAAUGGCCGAAAAUCUAAGGUUUCCUGGGGAAGGUUCGUCCGCCCAGGGUAAGCCGGGAGCUAAGGCGAGGCCGAAAGGCGUAGUCGAUGCACAUACGGUUGAAAUUCCGUAGCCACCGAACCUUAAGUACACUGACACAUGGAGAUAGCGGGACCCGGGCGUUGGUUGACCCGGGCGUAAGGGACCGAACUUUAGUAGGGAAGUCCGCGAUGCUCUGUGGCGAGAAAAGGUGUAUGGUAUGCUAAGGUGCCCGUACCGCAAACCGACACAGGUAGAUGAGGAGAGAAUCCUAAGGCCAACGGGAGAAGGGUUGUUAAGGAACUCGGCAAAAUGACCCCGUAACUUCGGGAUAAGGGGAGCCUCCUACGGGAGGCCGCAGCGAAUAGGCCCAAGCGACUGUUUACCAAAAACACAGGUCUCUGCUAAAUCGAAAGAUGACGUAUAGGGGCUGACGCCUGCCCGGUGCUGGAAGGUUAAGAGGAGAUGUUAGCCGCAAGGCGAAGCAUUGAAUCGAAGCCCCAGUAAACGGCGGCCGUAACUAUAACGGUCCUAAGGUAGCGAAAUUCCUUGUCAGGUAAGUUCUGACCCG